rnacentral:rRNA from 1 species
AGGGGGACGAACAGUUGGAAACGACUGCUAAUACCGCAUACGAUUCAACCUCGGCAUCGAGGAUGGAUGAAAGGUGGCCUCUAUUUAUAAGCUAUCACUGAAGGAGGGGAUUGCGUCUGAUUAGCUAGUUGGAGGGGUAACGGCCCACCAAGGCAAUGAUCAGUAGCCGGUCUGAGAGGAUGAACGGCCACAUUGGGACUGAGACACGGCCCAGACUCCUACGGGAGGCAGCAUG